AAAAGCGCAUGUGCUGUGAGCUCGAUGAGUAGGGCGGGACACGUGGUAUCCUGUCUGAAUAUGGGGGGACCAUCCUCCAAGGCUAAAUACUCCUGACUGACCGAUAGUGAACCAGUACCGUGAGGGAAAGGCGAAAAGAACCCCGGCGAGGGGAGUGAAAAAGAACCUGAAACCGUGUACGUACAAGCAGUGGGAGCACAGGUUUACCUGUGUGACUGCGUACCUUUUGUAUAAUGGGUCAGCGACUUAUAUUCUGUAGCAAGGUUAACCGAAUAGGGGAGCCGGAGGGAAACCGAGUCUUAAUUGGGCGUUAAGUUGCAGGGUAUAGACCCGAAACCCGGUGAUCUAGCCAUGGGCAGGUUGAAGGUUGGGUAACACUAACUGGAGGACCGAACCGACUAAUGUUGAAAAAUUAGCGGAUGACCUGUGGCUGGGGGUGAAAGGCCAAUCAAACCGGGAGAUAGCUGGUUCUCCCCGAAAGCUAUUUAGGUAGCGCCUCGUGAAUUCAUCUCCGGGGGUAGAGCACUGUUUCGGCUAGGGGGCCAUCCCGGCUUACCAACCCGAUGCAAACUGCGAAUACCGGAGAAUGUUAUCACGGGAGACACACGGCGGGUGCUAACGUCCGUCGUGAAGAGGGAAACAACCCAGACCGCCAGCUAAGGUCCCAAAGUCAUGGUUAAGUGGGAAACGAUGUGGGAAGGCCCAGACAGCCAGGAUGUUGGCUUAGAAGCAGCCAUCAUUUAAAGAAAGCGUAAUAGCUCACUGGUCGAGUCGGCCUGCGCGGAAGAUGUAACGGGGCUAAACCAUGCACCGAAGCUGCGGCAGCGAACGUAUCACUUAAAGCGAUUCAGCGGGUUACGAUUGACGGAGCGAAGCGACGUCAAAGCGUAUACAAAGUCGAGUCGGUUUAAGGAUACGUUCGUUGGGUAGGGGAGCGUUCUGUAAGCCUGUGAAGGUGGCCUGUGAGGGUUGCUGGAGGUAUCAGAAGUGCGAAUGCUGACAUAAGUAACGAUAAAGCGGGUGAAAAGCCCGCUCGCCGGAAGACCAAGGGUUCCUGUCCAACGUUAAUCGGGGCAGGGUGAGUCGACCCCUAAGGCGAGGCCGAAAGGCGUAGUCGAUGGGAAACGGGUUAAUAUUCCCGUACUUGGUGUUACUGCGAAGGGGGGACGGAGAAGGCUAUGUUGGCCGGGCGACGGUUGUCCCGGUUUAAGCGUGUAGGUGUGUGUUCCAGGUAAAUCCGGUUCACUU
rnacentral:rRNA from 1 species